AAAAGCCAAGGUCAGCGGCGGGCUGAGCUCGCCGCCCACCGUCUCCCACCGCCCCAUUCCGACCCAGCCCCGUCUCUUACCGGGGCGCCGUCGGCGAGCCGGGUCCCGGAGUAAACACUGCCGUAGCCGCCGCUGCCCAGCAGCGGGCCCUCCCGGUAGAGCUGCUCCAGGGGAGGCUUCUCCGCCCGUGCGGGCGGCACCGCGCUCUCGCCAUUCUGCCCGGGGCACCCGAACGCCCCGGCCGCUGCUGCUUGUCGAGCCGCCCCGGGCUCCGACGGCUCGGGGCCGAUGGCCGAGCUGGCGAGCGGCGGAGCUCGGACCGGGGAAGCUCCUGGGGGAGCUCCCGGGGACGGGCCGGGAGCCGGGCGGCAACGGGUUGGCUUCGGGCGGAACCGUGGGAGGGGCUUCGUUCGGGACCGGGGCCGGGCCAGAGCCUGCGCCAAGCGGAGCCAGAGAACGGUGCUGCCCCACCACAACCAGAGUGAGGAACUCUUCCAGAGGCUCUUGCAGAGGCGCCACAGCCAGUGCGGAGGCACCCUGGGGGAUGGGAGACCGCGGCGCGCCGGGCAUGGCCGGGCAGGGGGCCGACCCACCCAUGGGCGCCCUGCGGGACGCGGCAUGAGCCGGGCUGGGAAAGGCGGAACACGGACUGAACGGGACGAGACGGGACGGAACGGGAGUGGAGGGAGUGUUAGACGGAGAAGGGAACGGAGAGCGAGCGGAAAAUCGAGCGGAAAACCGAUCGAGAGAAGCGCUGCCGCUGCUGCCGCUGCUGCUGCCGAGCCGCCGGAGCUCGCCGCCGUUCGUCCGUUGUCUCCGCGAACCCAACGGAGGAACCGCCGCGCGCCCCGCGGAACGGAAGAAAGAAACAAACAAAAACCCAAAGCAAUUCCUGUUAGAGAAGUAACCAGAGGUCCUGACAGCGGUGUUCCAGCACCUCACCACCCUCACGGUGAAGAGGUUUUUUUCUGAAUAUCUAGUUUAAAACUACUGUUUUGGUCCAUUUUAAAGGCAGUGCUACUGCUAUGCAGGUUUCCUUUCUUCAGCUGAGGGCGAGAACGGAACUGAAGGGUACAUGAGCUCCCUGUACCAUUGUCCUCUUAUCAUCCUUUAUGCAGAGAGCAGGCAGAGAAACAAGUGGUUGUAGUGAAAAAUAUGUUUUUCCUACAGCAGUGUGAGCUGUUCGUUAUGCACACGCAGAACUAACAGUGUGCAUUGCAACUUGUAGAUAUCCUGCUCCACCAAGCGUCUGCAAUUGGAUCUGCAAUACUGGAAAAGUCAUGAAGAGGUUUUGCUGUAAUCCCCUCUGCCUGUGACUUCAAACGGAUCGUGUCUUUCCCUGUCCCUGUUCAGGUGGCAGGGGAACAAACUGCCUCAAGGUACAAAAGGAAAAUUACUUGAAACAUUUGGCUACAGUGCUGGAUGGUGUUCUGAGGAGAAAGAUGGAUGAUAUAUUGUCAUGAGAAUAUGACACACCCCUCAAAAAAUGCAACUGGACCACCAAUCAAGCUUGGCAAUUUCAGAUAAAAUUGUUGUGUUGCAAGUGUUGAUCCAAGAAGCAUCUCUAGUUCUGGAAAGGCUGGCAUAGAAUCACAGCAUUUGCAUAUGUCUACUGGGUAUGCUUUAGCUUUUUCAUGUGAAGAGAAGAGACUUCUAGCAAAAAGAAUGUUUUUCCUCACUUGGUAAUGUUACUCCAAGGGCACAGUGUGGAAGACAGAAAACUUGCCAAGUGGAUGAACAAUUAAGAAUGAUGUCUACCUGCAAAGAAACAUGUGGAAAAAUUAUACCAAAAAGAGAGAGCUCUUAGCAGUUCUUUCAGCCUAUACAAAAGGAGACUAAAACUUCCUGUUGUUGAGAUGUACUUCUGGACCUCCCAAGCUGCAUUCUACAGUUGUGGUCCCUGAUGCAUUGUCUGAUGCUGCAGGAGUUUUGCUCUCAUGUCUGUCACUGCCUUUCCAGCAGUCACGGGCUCCUGGGAGAUGUCCCCUCUGCCUUCUUCUCACCAGACUACACAAGUCCAGCCCUCUCUCCUCAGAGGCACUGUGCUCCAGGUCCCUAACCAUUUUUGUAGUCUCAGCUGGCUCCUCUCCUCUUUUGCCACAUCCCUCCUGAACUGGAGGACCCAACACUGGAGACGAAUCCUGGAGAGGCCUCACCAGCUCUGGACAGAGUGGGUAGAAAUCCCUCUUCUGGCUGUGCUAGACAUGUGGCUGCUAGUGCAGCCUGUUUAUCUUAUAUGUGAUGGGAACAUUCUUCUGGUUAAUGGUCAGCCUGUUGUCUGCUGAAACCCCAAGUCCUUCUCAGAAGCGCUGUUGAGCAGAUUGAAUCUUCCAGCCUGGCUGAAUGCACAGAGCUGUGUCACCCCUUGUGCAGAGCUCUGCUCCUCUCCUCCUUGGACAUCACAAGGUGCUACUUCUCAGGUUGACUGAGGCCCCUCUGGGCAGACAUUCUGCCAUUUCAUAGGGUGGCCACCCUCCCAGUUUAAUGUCACCUGUGGCUAUUUGUGCUCUUCACCCAAGGUAGAACCAAGAUAAAACUUCAUGUUGUUCUGAAUGUACAGACCCCCUGGAGGGAGUAUUUCUGUCUUGAUCUGUGUAGGACAAGACAACCACAUAAACAGGUAUGAGAUUACUCCAACCGGAUCUACCUGUUUGCUGAAAGACAUUGCUCAGUGCUCAGUGGUAAAGCCAAGCACAGAAGUCCAGAGAAGGCUGACCACAAAGCUCUGCUUAGUGCUGUUGCUGGUUUCUCCUACCAUUGCUUCCAGGCAUCUUGAUUGUUCCCAGAUAAAUUAAUUGAUCUGCUGGGUUUUAGUCUGCUUUCUAUGGUAGUGCUUCCUAGCCUCAUUUGGCAGUGACAUUUUCUGCUGUCAUCUAAUAACCAUCUAAUUGAUGGUUAUUGCAUUAAGGCAAUAAUUUAGUGUUCCACCACCCUUGCCUCUCACCUCCCUUUCUUUCUUCUCCCACUGAUUUGUCCUUCAACCAACCUUUCUCUCACAUCUCCCUUCUUUUCUUCCCAGUCCUAUGCUCACAGUGAUCUGUACCUGACCCUUUCACUCUACCAUUCCCUUUCAUGUUCACCUUGUACCAUCCACUCUUACUGCAAAAUUGACUUCUCUGUUCCAUCAACAGAGCCUUCUCCGUUCCUGACAGAGCUCAUGCCCUUUGCAGGGCAGCCCAGGGGACUUUCCAGGGGUCUGUCCUAUUCUUUCCCUGUGCUCCAUAGGUGUGAAACGCUGCUCCAGCAAUAAAUGUGUGGAUGCUGUGCAUCAUGGGCAACGCUGGCGCUUGUGUGAUGGAGGGGGGGAUUGUAACCUUGGAUGAAUUCUGACAGAAUCUCCUCCCCUCGUGUUCAGCGAAAUGUUUGGCAUUUCUCAAUGAGCCAGGGCUGAGCCUCAAGGAGUGGAGGAUUUUGGUCCUGUUAUCAGUUUCACAUGAGGGUUUGCAAGCUCUGAGAGACAUCCUGUCCUGAGUAAAGAAAAAAGGGGUGGAGUCUCUAGCACUGUUGUCUUAUUUUGAGACAAUUUACAGGGUGGAGAGUCCAAAAUAAGUUACCUGCUGACAGUUUUUAACCUCUCUCCCUUCCACCAGUAAGACAAGUGCAAAGAGAUAUAAAUGAAAAAAUAACAAUUUACUAAAAGAAAACAUAGCAAUAACUACAAGAUACAAAGGUAAAUGGUUCAGCCUCAACCCACAAAUGCAGAAAAGGUAUUUCCAGUUUGUCCCCAAAUAAGGGAUGGCACUGUUCCCACUCUGGGCCAUAUGGCAAAUGAGUCUCUGGUUUAAAAACUCCCUCGUCCAGACAAACAAAUAAUAGGGAAUGGAGGAAAAUAAAACCUGGAAAAACUCUUUUUGUCUGAAUGAAGUCAAUGUUAUUGAGGCACCACACUCUCUCACCUCUCUGCUUCUGAGGGAAGAGCCCCUGAACUUCCAGGGGCUUUAUACUGGAAACCACAUCC